UGAGGAAUAUUGGUCAAUGGGCGGGAGCCUGAACCAGCCAAGUCGCGUGAGGGAAGACGGUCUUACGGAUUGUAAACCUCUUUUGCCGGGGAGCAAAGGGCGCCACGCGUGGCGUUUCGAGAGUACCCGGAGAAAAAUGCAUCGGCUAACUCCGUGCCAGCAGCCGCGGUAAUACGGAGGAUGCGAGCGUUAUCCGGAUUUAUUGGGUUUAAAGGGUGCGUAGGCGGGCCGGUAAGUCAGCGGUAAAAUAGCGGGGCUCAACCCCGUCGAGCCGUUGAAACUGCCGGUCUUGAGUGGGCGAGAAGUGCGCGGAAUGCGUGGUGUAGCGGUGAAAUGCAUAGAUAUCACGCAGAACCCCGAUUGCGAAGACAGCGCACCGGCGCCCAACUGACGCUGAAGCACGAAAGCGUGGGGAUCGAACAGGAUUAGAUACC
rnacentral:rRNA from 1 species